UACGGGGGGGCGAGCGUUGUUCGGAAUCACUGGGCGUAAAGGGCGCGUAGGCGGCCCGCACAAGUCUGCGGUGAAAACCCCCGGCUUAACCGGGGGCCGGCCGUGGAAACUGUCGGGCUGGAGGCCGGGAGAGGGCAGCGGAAUUCCCGGUGUAGCGGUGAAAUGCGUAGAGAUCGGGAGGAACACCAGUGGCGAAGGCGACUACCUGGCCUGUUCUGACGCUGAGGCGCGAAAGCUAGGGAGCAACGGG
rnacentral:rRNA from 1 species